GAUGAACGCUGGCGGCGUGCUUAACACAUGCAAGUCGAGCGAACAGACUAGGAGUUUGCUCCUUUCUCGUUUGCCGCGGACGGGUGAGUAACACGUGUAUACCCCACUUAUCUGACUGGUAUAACUUCGGGACUCCGGAUCUAAUCCCGUAUAAUAUAUUGAACCGUAUGGUUCAAUAGUGAAAUUCGGUUUUGCUGUCACUUAUAGCUUGUUCCGCGCCUCAUUAGCUAGUUGGUAGGGUAACGGCUUACCAAGGCAACGAUGCGUAGCCGAACGGAGAGAGGGGUCGGCCACAUGGGAACUGAGACACGGUCAAGACGCCUAAGGGAGGGAGCAGAAGGGAAUGUUACGCAGUAGGCGAGAGCAUGACGGAGCAAGGCCGCGUGAGUGAUAAAGAUCUUCGGAUCGUAAAAAUCGGUUAUGAGGGAAAAACAAAUGUGGAAGUAAAUAUGCACGUAGUGACGGUACCUAAUCAGAAAGCAACGGCUAACUACGUG
rnacentral:rRNA from 1 species